rnacentral:rRNA from 1 species
UGAGGGCCCUCUGGGUCCAACCUCCCACCCGUGUUUAUUUUACCUUGUUGCUUCGGCGGGCCCGCCUUCACUGGCCGCCGGGGGGCUCACGCCCCCGGGCCCGCGCCCGCCGAAGACACCCUCGAACUCUGUCUGAAGAUUGAAGUCUGAGUGAAAAUAUAAAUUAUUUAAAACUUUCAACAACGGAUCUCUUGGUUCCGGCAUCGAUGAAGAACGCAGCGAAAUGCGAUACGUAAUGUGAAUUGCAAAUUCAGUGAAUCAUCGAGUCUUUGAACGCACAUUGCGCCCCCUGGUAUUCCGGGGGGCAUGCCUGUCCGAGCGUCAUUGCUGCCCUCAAGCCCGGCUUGUGUGUUGGGCCCCGUCCUCCGAUUCCGGGGGACGGGCCCGAAAGGCAGCGGCGGCACCGCGUCCGGUCCUCGAGCGUAUGGGGCUUUGUCACCCGCUCUGUAGGCCCGGCCGGCGCUUGCCGAUCAACCCAAAUUUUUAUCCAGGUUGACCUCGGAUCAGGUAGGGAUACCCGCUGAACUUAA